CUCAUCCACUGAUACUUCAGGCCCAGGGUUGUAGAGGUAUGGCCUCAUCCACUGUUACUUCAGGCCCAGGGUUGUAGAGGUAUGGCCUCAUCCACUGUUACUUCAGGCCCAGGGUUGUAGAGGUAUGGCCUCAUCCACUGUUACUUCAGGCCCAGGGUUGUAGAGGUAUGGCCUCAUCCACUGUUACUUCAGGCCCAGGGUUGUAGAGGUACGGCAGACGCUCCACCCACUUCUCCCAGACCUCUCUUAUGGCCGUCAGUUUGUCUCUCACAUGUUUUGCAGGUCUUGACUCACGGUUAUCAAAUCGUAGCAUUCUUGAGAAAGUGUGAAAGACUUUCAGUGGCAUCAUGGCAUGGAAAAUCACCCUUCCACUCUCUGCAUCCCAGAGACUACAUGUAGCCUCACCUCGAGACCUAUACACACCCGCUAAGAUUAGCAGCCCUAUGUAGACACGCAGGUCAAUCUCAUCCAUCCUUUUCCAGUUGUCUCCAUAUUUACAGAAACCCUCCAAAAAUGAUUUUUUCGAUGGCUGGUGUGAUGAGCAUGUAGAAUGUUGAGCCGAUCUCCUGGGCCUAGGCAACUGCACGUCUUGUGGGUCCUGGGGUCAUCCUUAUGACAUUUUGUGCUGCCAUCCUGCCCUGGUUGUCAUACAGUGACAAGGACCAUGUUAUUUUGCUGUUCAAGUUGAAAAAUAUCAUUUAGUGGGUUUUCUCUGCUGUUAACAUAGUGGCAGGUCAUUUUUUACCCUUAAGACAACGCAAGGGGUAAGAGCCAAAGAACUGAGGCUACAGAGACACCCCACAAAUGACUGGCCAGACCACCACACACCCCUGCAGUACACUCCUCUCCCCACCCGCCAUGUACUCACACACACACCUACAAUUUAGGCAAGAUCUAGGCCUGUAUUCACAAAUUUUCCGAGUAGGAUCACUGAUCUAGGAUUACUGACCAGGGCCCCCUUGUCCAUGUAAUUAGCAGCAAGCCUAUCAGAGGGUAAGGUGGAGCCCUCACCAUGUCACCACCCAUCAAUCACUCUCAGGCUAGGAGUUGUCUGGACACGAUUCUCCACUGAAAGAGCUUAAUCUGAGCCCGGGACACAGACCCAUUGAGAACAACAAGCAGUUAGAUUGUAUUGUUUGGUCCUGUGUGGAUCAGUUGAUAGUGGUACAGCAUGGCACUUGCAACGCCAUGGUUGUGGGUUUCGAUUCCCAAAGGUCCAACACAAAAAAAGUUUGAAAAUGUAUGCAUUCACUACUGUAAGUUGCUCUGGAUAAGAGCGUCUGAUAAAUGACUGAAAUGUAAUGUCAGACAAACGCCAAUUUAAAUGUAAUUUAACGUAUAAAAUGAAAACUGGCUUAUUACAUGAGAAAGGCUGUAAAACAUGACCAUGUUAUAAAAACACUGCAGCAAUUACUCAACUUGCAUGACAGAAUUACACUAGAAUGACGUAGCACACUUCACAGACAGGAAGACCAUUACUGAUUGAGAAGAAAUCUCAAAGCGCUUAAAAACACUAAAU
rnacentral:lncRNA from 1 species